ACGGGUGAGUAACGCGUAGGUAACCUGCCUGGUAGCGGGGGAUAACUAUUGGAAACGAUAGCUAAUACCGCAUAAAAUGGAUUAUCGCAUGAUAAUUCAUUGAAAGGUGCAAAUGCAUCACUACCAGAUGGACCUGCGUUGUAUUAGCUAGUUGGUGGGGUAACGGCUCACCAAGGCAACGAUACAUAGCCGACCUGAGAGGGUGAUCGGCCACACUGGGACUGAGACACGGCCCAGACUCCUACGGGAGGCAGCAGUAGGGAAUCUUCGGCAAUGGACGGAAGUCUGACCGAGCAACGCCGCGUGAGUGAAGAAGGUUUUCGGAUCGUAAAGCUCUGUUGUAAGAGAAGAACGAGUGUGAGAGUGGAAAGUUCACACUGUGACGGUAUCUUACCAGAAAGGGACGGCUAACUACGUGCCAGCAGCCGCGGUAAUACGUAGGUGGCAAGCGUUGUCCGGAAUUAUUGGGCGUAAAGCGCGCGCAGGCGGAUCAGUCAGUCUGUCUUAAAAGUUCGGGGCUUAACCCCGUGAUGGGAUGGAAACUGCUGAUCUAGAGUAUCGGAGAGGAAAGUGGAAUUCCUAGUGUAGCGGUGAAAUGCGUAGAUAUUAGGAAGAACACCAGUGGCGAAGGCGACUUUCUGGACGAAAACUGACGCUGAGGCGCGAAAGCCAGGGGAGCGAACGGGAUUAGAU
rnacentral:rRNA from 1 species